UCCAGACUCCUACGGGAGGCAGCAGUGGGGGAUAUUGCACAAUGGGGGAAACCCUGAUGCAGCGACGCCGCGUGAGUGAAGAAGUAUUUCGGUAUGUAAAGCUCUAUCAGCAGGGAAGAAAAAAGACGGUACCUGACUAAGAAGCCCCGGCUAACUACGUGCCAGCAGCCGCGGUAAUACGUAGGGGGCAAGCGUUAUCCGGAUUUACUGGGUGUAAAGGGAGCGUAGACGGCAAUACAAGUCGGAAGUGAAAUACCCGGGCUCAACCUGGGAACUGCUUUGGAAACUGUAUGGCUGGAGUGCUGGAGAGGUAAGCGGAAUUCCUAGUGUAGCGGUGAAAUGCGUAGAUAUUAGGAGGAACACCAGUGGCGAAGGCGGCUUACUGGACAGUAACUGACGUUGAGGCUCGAAAGCGUGGGGAGCAAACAGGAUUAGAUACCCGCGUA
rnacentral:rRNA from 1 species